UUUAACUGAAGAGUUUGAUCAUGGCUCAGAUUGAACGCUGGCGGCAGGCUUAACACAUGCAAGUCGAGCGGGGGAAGGUAGCUUGCU
rnacentral:rRNA from 1 species